rnacentral:rRNA from 1 species
GCUCCUCUGACGUUAGCGGCGGACGGGUGAGUAACACGUGGAUAACCUACCUAUAAGACUGGGAUAACUUCGGGAAACCGGAGCUAAUACCGGAUAAUAUAUUGAACCGCAUGGUUCAAUAGUGAAAGACGGUUUUGCUGUCACUUAUAGAUGGAUCCGCGCCGCAUUAGCUAGUUGGUAAGGUAACGGCUUACCAAGGCAACGAUGCGUAGCCGACCUGAGAGGGUGAUCGGCCACACUGGAACUGAGACACGGUCCAGACUCCUACGGGAGGCAGCAGUAGGGAAUCUUCCGCAAUGGGCGAAAGCUUGACGGAGCAACGCCGCGUGAGUGAUGAAGGUCUUCGGAUCGUAAAACUCUGUUAUUAGGGAAGAACAAAUGUGUAAGUAACUAUGCACGUCUUGACGGUACCUAAUCAG